ensembl:snRNA U6 U6 spliceosomal RNA
GUGUUCCUUUCCACAGCACUUACCCUAACAUCGAACAGAGACAAAACUAGCGUGGCCCCUGCACAAGGAUGACACGCAAAUUCGUGAAGCAGCAGUAACUAUA